rnacentral:rRNA from 1 species
GACGAACGCUGGCGGCGUGCUUAACACAUGCAAGUCGAACGGUGAAGGGGCCUGCUUUUGUGGGCCCUGGAUGAGUGGCGAACGGGUGAGUAACACGUGAGUAACCUGCCCCCUUCUUCUGGAUAACCGCAUGAAAGUGUGGCUAAUACGGGAUAUUCUGGGUCUGUCGCAUGAUGGGUCUGGGAAAGAUUGCGCCUUUGGGUGUUUUUGGUGGGGGAUGGGCUCGCGGCCUAUCAGCUUGUUGGUGGGGUGAUGGCCUACCAAGGCGGUGACGGGUAGCCGGCCGGAGGGGGUGGACGGUCACACUGGGACUGAGACACGGCCCAGACUCCUACGGGAGGCAGCAGUGGGGAAUAUUGCACAAUGGGCGCAAGCCUGAUGCAGCGACGCCGCGUGAGGGAUGGAGGCCUUCGGGUUGUAAACCUCUUUCGCCAGUGAAGCAGGCCUGCUCCUUGUGGGUGGGUUGACGGUAGCUGGAUAAGAAGCGCCGGCUAACUACGUG